rnacentral:rRNA from 1 species
AGAUUGAACGCUGGCGGCAGGCCUAACACAUGCAAGUCGAGCGGUAGAGAGGUGCUUGCACCUCUUGAGAGCGGCGGACGGGUGAGUAAAGCCUAGGAAUCUGCCUGGUAGUGGGGGAUAACGCUCGGAAACGGACGCUAAUACCGCAUACGUCCUACGGGAGAAAGCAGGGGACCUUCGGGCCUUGCGCUAUCAGAUGAGCCUAGGUCGGAUUAGCUAGGUUGGUGAGGUAAUGGCUCGACCAAGGCGACGAUCCGUAACUGGUCU